UCUAAGUUUGAUGGCGACCGGCGCACGGGUGAGUAACACGUAUCCAACCUGCCGAUGACUCGGGGGAUAGCCUUUCGAAAGAAAGAUUAAUACCCGAUGGCAUAGUUCUUCCGCAUGGUGGAACUAUUAAAGAAUUUCGGUCAUCGAUGGGGAUGCGUUCCAUUAGGUUGUUGGCGGGGUAACGGCCCACCAAGCCUUCGAUGGAUAGGGGUUCUGAGAGGAAGGUCCCCCACAUUGGAACUGAGACACGGUCCAAACUCCUACGGGAGGCAGCAUG
rnacentral:rRNA from 1 species